rnacentral:ncRNA from 1 species
UGUCUCCUCUAUUCUCCUCCAAGAAAAUAGAUUCAGCCCGCUCCCUGAGCGGGCUUUUUUUU